GAUGAACGCUAGCUACAGGCUUAACACAUGCAAGUCGAGGGGAAACGGCAUCGAAAGCUUGCUUUUGAUGGGCGUCGACCGGCGCACGGGUGAGUAACGCGUAUCCAACCUGCCCAUCACUUGGGAAUAACCUUGCGAAAGUAAGACUAAUGCCCAAUGACAUCCCACGAAGGCAUCCGAAUGGGAUUAAAGAUUUAUCGGUGAUGGAUGGGGAUGCGUCUGAUUAGCUUGUUGGCGGGGUGACGGCCCACCAAGGCAACGAUCAGUAGGGGUUCUGAGAGGAAGGUCCCCCACAUUGGAACUGAGACACGGUCCAAACUCCUACGGGAGGCAGCAGUGAGGAAUAUUGGUCAAUGGGCGAGAGCCUGAACCAGCCAAGUAGCGUGCAGGAUGACGGCCCUAUGGGUUGUAAACUGCUUUUAUAAGGGAAUAAAGUGGGUCACGUGUGACUUUUCGCAUGUACCUUAUGAAUAAGGACCGGCUAAUUCCGUG
rnacentral:rRNA from 1 species